UUGUUUUUCCAGUGAAUUUUCUUCUUGAAAAACUGGUGAACCACUGUGGGAGCACAAAAUCUAACAGGUGUCUCAGAAUUUCAUUUCCCGGGCUUCUCAGAGGACCCAGCCCUGCAGCCCAUCCUCAUCGGACUGUUCCUCUCCGUGUACCUGGUCACAGUGCUCGGGAACCUGCUCAUCAUCCUGGCGGCAUUGGAACGUAUUUUGGUUCAAUUGCAUCAUAUUCUCCCAGGAAGGGCAUGGUGGCCUCACUGAUGUACACUGUGGUCACCCCGAUGCUGAAUCCCUUCAUCUACAGCCUGAGGAACAGGGACAUCAGCAGCAGUGUGAAGAGGCUCCACCAUUGCAAAAUCUAAUCCCAGGGCCUUUUCCAUUCAUUUAG
rnacentral:lncRNA from 1 species